GAUGAAGAACGUAGUGAAAUGCGAUAAGUAAUGUGAAUUGCAGAAUUCAGUGAGUCAUCGAAUCUUUGAACGCACCUUGCGCCCUUUGGCCAUUCCGAAGGGCAUGCCUGUUUGAGUAUCAUGAACACCUCAACUCUCAUGGCUCGCCAUGAUGAGCUUGGACUUUGGGGGUCUUGCUGGCCUGUGGUCGGCUCCUCUCAAAUGGAUCAGCUUGCCAGUGUUUGGUGGCAUCACAGGUGUGAUAACUAUCUGCGCUUGUGGUUUUCCAUCAGAUAACCUUCAGUGAUGGAGGUUCGCUGGAGCUCAUAAACGUCUCCCCUAAGCGGGGACAGCCCUUUGAAUGUUUGAUCUCAAAUCAGGUAGGACUACCCGCUGAACUUAAGCAUAUCAAUAAGCGGAGGA
rnacentral:misc_RNA from 1 species